UAGUUGGUCAAAUAUAUUUCUCCAAACCCUAUCACCAGACGAUUACCCCAUAUCUCCACUCCCUAAAAUAUCUCCAACAAACCAAAUCUCCAAAGAAUUUAUUAUAUAUCUCAACUACUCCACAUGUUUCACGUUCCACACCUCCAAAGAAACCGAGCGGGAGUAGAGAGAAACCGUGAUUUCGUCCAUCCAAUUCUAUCCUGCAAAUUGCAAAAUCUCUCUCUUCCAAAAAGGGUGAACUUGUGCGCGUUGUUGCGGUUGGAACAGGAAAGUGUUUGAGGAGUUAAGCGUAUGAGGUUGAGCGUGACGGGUGCGGUGGGUGUUGAGCAAGACCGUUG